rnacentral:piRNA from 1 species
UGAAGCAAAUCGAGACAUUGGUUAACC